CAAUUUGCGCAUAGUUUGUCAUUCAUCAAAACCUACAAAUAUGAACGCACAUUUAGUAUAAUACCUUGAGAACGUGUUUCCAACAAUAUCAUCAGAAAAAAAAAAGAGCAUGGAUAAGAAUUGACGUCACUGUCAAAACUCCUUAAAGCUUGAUUAAUGAAGAACACCUAGUAUACAAUCUUGGAAAGAAACUAAUUGAGUAUUUUCCAAGUAAAAAAAAAACUUAUUUAUCUCAUUUGAAAUUUCAUAAAGCCCAAAGACGAAGUCAUCACAAAUCUGUAUUAAAAACGGACAUAUAUGCAACAUGAAACACUUAAAGAGAGUAAUGAAGUUCAGAACGUGAAGCAAUUAGCGCAGCCAGUAGACUCUCUCAAUCUCAUAUCAUUGAUGAUAUUUCCAUUUUUAACUAGAAGGAAAUUAAGUAUGGCAUGUAGUAAGAAGCAUCUGGUAAAUCUCAGUUUCAAGUCACUUUACUGAAUCAACAUGAAGCGACACUAUGAAAAACCACCACUCCGUCAUAACAACAGACGCAAUGAAGGUUAAUUUCAAAUCGACGAACACGAAACACGCUUCACACAGUUAAUCCGUUCGUGAGCUUGAACUUAAACAUGUCAUGGAGAUCUCAACUAAGCAAAUGAUUUAAAACAAAUCAAAUCACACUCUUAAACACAAGAAGGAAAGGGAAUGAGAUGAUCUGAAACUCGAAUUUCCAAUAAGCCUGUCCGGAUACGAUACAAGAAAAAAUGAACGAUGAACUUAGUAGGGGCUGAAUGAAACAGUAACUAUCGAAUCCGGAACCACGAGCUCGAACCAUGAACGGCAAUCAGAACAUCAAACAAACACCACCAGAAAAUCAGUUGCACUCCAUGCUUAAACCAGAAUUGGAAUCUCAGAGAAGGAAGUGAACUGAUUUUUUUUUUUCGUGUUUUUCCUUUAAUAAUUUUUCUGACUUCUGGAAAUAAAACAAAAAUCAGAGCGGACUCCUUUUGAAUGAUCCUUCUUUGUGGAAUUUCGAAACGAAAAUUGAAUGAAGAAGGCUACGGCAAAACAGACCCUAGAGCUUUUUCUUUCACAGUUUCUUCCUCUGUUUUUUUGUCUGAAAAUCCCCUAUAUCUGACAAAAACACCCCAAUAUAUAGGGGUCUCGAACCGUCUAUACUUCCUCACCAAAAAAUUCCCUGUUUAUCUCUCCAAACCCGAAAAACCACUCCAAAAAUCCGAAACCCUUUCAUACAAACGGAUUUUAGGCAAAUGGACGCCUAGGAUCCAAAAACUUCGAUCCUACGGCCCCCAUUUAGCUAUCAUCCAUUCAUGAAUGGCUCAAAUUCUUUAAACAAAUGCGAAAAGCGUGUGGGAUGAGAGAAAACGCGUAGAAUCGGAUUAUAAUGAUGGGGGGACCACGGAGGGGACCAGGGCUUACGUGGAACACCGGAAAAUUGACUUUUCCAGUGGGUUUAGG
rnacentral:lncRNA from 1 species